GCUUAGCCCUGAUUAGAACGACAUCCUUUUUUGUUUUUCACAAAAAAGAUAUAGUGGAAAGCAGGAAAUAGC
rnacentral:sRNA from 1 species